rnacentral:rRNA from 1 species
CCUACGGGAGGCAGCAGUGAGGAAUAUUGGUCAAUGGGCGGGAGCCUGAACCAGCCAAGUCGCGUGAAGGAAGAAGGUACUUAGUAUUGUAAACUUCUUUUGUCGGGGAACAAAGGCGGAGACGCGUCUCCGGAUGAGUGUACCCGAAGAAAAAGCAUCGGCUAACUCCGUGCCAGCAGCCGCGGUAAUACGGAGGAUGCGAGCGUUAUCCGGAUUUAUUGGGUUUAAAGGGUGCGCAGGCGGAAUGUCAAGUCAGCGGUAAAAUUUCGGGGCUCAACCCCGUCGUGCCGUUGAAACUGGCGUUCUUGAGUGAGCGAGAAGUAUGCGGAAUGCGUGGUGUAGCGGUGAAAUGCAUAGAUAUCGCGCAGAACUCCGAUUGCGAAGGCAGCAUGCCGGCGCUCAACUGACGCUCAUGCACGAAAGCGUGGGUAUCGAACAGGAUUAGAUACCCUGGUAGUC